AUUGAACGCUGGCGGCAGGCUUAACACAUGCAAGUCGAGCGGGGUGAUGGUGCUUGCACUAUCACUUAGCGGCGGACGGGUGAGUAAUGCCUAGGAAUCUGCCUAUUAGUGGGGGACAACAUCUCGAAAGGGAUGCUAAUACCGCAUACGUCCUACGGGAGAAAGCAGGGGAUCACUUGUGACCUUGCGCUAAUAGAUGAGCCUAAGUCGGAUUAGCUAGUUGGUGGGGUAAAGGCCUACCAAGGCGACGAUCUGUAGCGGGUCUGAGAGGAUGAUCCGCAACACUGGGACUGAGACACGGCCCAGACUCCUACGGGAGGCAGCAGGGGGGAAUAUUGGACAAUGGGGGGAACCCUGAUCCAGCCAUGCCGCGUGUGUGAAGAAGGCCUUAUGGUUGUAAAGCACUUUAAGCGAGGAGGAGGCUCUUUUGGUUAAUACCCAAGAUGAGUGGACGUUACUCGCAGAAUAAGCACCGGCUAACUCUGUGCCAGCCGCCGCCGUAA
rnacentral:rRNA from 1 species